ACAAGUUCACCCCAGAAGAGUUGCAGAACAUCAAGCUUAUGAUUCAAAGUAACAUGUAUAAAUAUCUUAGCAUAUUACUUGAAGGACGGGAGAGGUUUGAAGAGGAAGCUUUGAUGGAAAAGAUAACUACUGCACUGAAUGCUGAAGAAUCUGCUUCAGGUGAAACAGAAGUUGAAGCAAAUCAACACUGUAUCUACUCAAUCAACCAAAGGUCCAAGCAUUUUUCUGACUGGUUACUGGAUAUUAUGGCUACGGG
rnacentral:misc_RNA from 1 species